GGCAUAGCUCAGUUUGGUAGAGCACCUGGUUUGGGACCAGGGGGUCGCAGGUUCGAAUCCUGUUGC
rnacentral:tRNA from 1 species